CCCAAGGCAACGACGGCAACUCCAAUUCUGGCUGCAUUUGGAUUGUUGAUCAUGGAACCAGGUCUACAUCCAAGAUGUACUGGAGGAAGGAACUGUGGAGCACCACUGUGGGCAAAUGUGGCCAGCAACUGCUCUGAGGAAUUGUCAACUUCUUUCCCAGGUCUGGCCCAACCUUUAAGCACUUUCUUCAACACUGAACAUAACCACCGCAAGGCUCUUCACUCCUGCUCAAGAGUUUGCCAUCCCCAGACAUCCUGCCAGAAGACCAAGCGCAUUUUCCCAUGCACUGAGUGUGGAGAGAUGUGUUCCCGCCUCCUUCCCUUGGCCUCCACUCCAUCUCCAUCUC